CGGGACGUAGCGCAGUUUGGUAGCGCACUUGACUGGGGGUCAAGGGGUCGUGGGUUCAAAUCCCGCCGUCCCGAC
rnacentral:tRNA from 2 species